AGCCUAGUCAGCUUGGAGGGUAGCGCGUGUGCCUUGUAAGCGCUAGGUCGCGGGUUCGAUUCCCGCCCGGGCCG
rfam:Asian citrus Psyllid, Diaphorina citri - Florida Strain, whole genome shotgun sequence.